GACGAACGCUGGCGGCGUGCUUAACACAUGCAAGUCGAACGGAGAAUUUAUUUCGGUAAAUUCUUAGUGGCGAACGGGUGAGUAACGCGUGGGCAACCUGCCCUUCAGAUGGGGACAACAUCCCGAAAGGGGUGCUAAUACCGAAUACGAUCACGCUGCCGCAUGGCGGUGUGAUGAAAGAUGGCCUCUAUUUAUAAGCUAUCGCUGAAGGAUGGGCCUGCGUCUGAUUAGCUAGUUGGUGGGGUAACGGCCUACCAAGGCGAUGAUCAGUAGCCGGUCUGAGAGGAUGAACGGCCACAUUGGGACUGAGACACGGCCCAAACUCCUACGGGAGGCAGCAGUGGGGAAUAUUCCGCAAUGGACGAAAGUCUGACGGAGCAACGCCGCGUGAGUGAUGAAGGUUUUCGGACUGUAAAACUCUGUUGUUUAGGACGAAAGUGCCUGUUGCAAAUAGUUGCAGGUAUUGACGGUACUGAACGAGGAAGCCACGGCUAACUACGUGCCAGCAGCCGCCGCAG
rnacentral:rRNA from 1 species